rnacentral:rRNA from 1 species
UGGGGAAUAUUGCACAAUGGAGGAAACUCUGAUGCAGCGACGCCGCGUGAGUGAAGAAGGUCUUCGGAUCGUAAAACUCUGUCCUUGGUGAAGAAGAAAAUGACGGUAGCCAAGGAGGAAGCCCCGGCUAACUACGUGCCAGCAGCCGCGGUAAUACGUAGGGGGCGAGCGUUGUCCGGAUUUACUGGGCGUAAAGGGUGAGUAGGCGGUUAUAUAAGUCAGAUGUAAAAGGCACAGGCUUAACUUGUGUAAGCAUUUGAAACUGUAUAACUUGAGUGCAGGAGAGGUAAGUGGAAUUCCUAGUGUAGCGGUGAAAUGCGUAGAUAUUAGGAGGAACACCAGUGGCGAAGGCGACUUACUGGACUGUAACUGACGCUGAGUCACGAAAGCGUGGGUAGCA